GAGUUACUUCCUAAUUCACUCAUCGUGUGAGUCUCGUCUCUUCUCUCACUCUCGCUGUAAUGGAGUUGUUCAUCUUCAUAGUGUUUCAGCUCCUGACGGAGGUUCAGUCUUACAUCGUAGUGAACUCUUCACACGAUCAGUGAACAGCAGAGAGCUGAGCUGUGUUUAUUCACUCAAGACUGAACCUGAGAUCAGAUCACCACACAGUGACACAUACACCAUCAGUAACACAAUGCCCAUCACAGUCACCAUCACCAUCAGAGACACAAUCAACUUCAGAGACACAAUCACAACCAGAGUUUCAACUUCAACCUCCACUGAACAUACAACUACAACAACAGCCCCGACAAAUUAUGACGAAUCCAAGACAAGGCUGCCAACCAGCACAGCAAAGGAAAACCCAUGGCAUUAUUUCUGUCUGGACUCAUAGGAUUCAUCUGUCUGUGCCGCUUCACCAGUUCUGCUGAUGUUCACAGAUCUGAACCUCCUGCCAGAUGGAAACAACUGCCUCAUGCAAAAUAAUCACCCUUGCGGUCUUUGUACUUGACCACUUGACAAUUGAUAUGAUGUAUUCCCUGUAUUUGGUACAAGUGUUCAAGUGAGGUGUGUCGAACUUUUUAUUACUUGACAAACCUAUAAAAAUGCAAAAAAUGCAAUUGUUUAUAUAGCUUAAUUUACAAAAUUUCAUCAGCAGUCCCUAUAACAUGUCAUAAUUUUAAUUUGUGGUGCUUUUAAUUAAGGGAUAAAAAGCAGUUCCAAAUGUUGUACAAAAUAAAUAUA